UACGUAGGGGGCAAGCGUUAAUCGGAAUUAUUGGGCGUAAAGCGUGCGCAGGCGGUUAUGUAAGUCAGAUGUGAAAUCCCCGGGCUCAACCUGGGAACUGCAUUUGAGACUGCAUCGCUGGAGUUCGGCAGGGGAGACUGGAAUUCCUGGUGUAGCGGUGAAAUGCGCAGAUAUCAGGAGGAACACCGGUGGCGAAGGCGGGUCUCUGGGACGAUACUGACGCUGAGACGCGAAAGCGUGGGGAGCAAACAGG
rnacentral:rRNA from 1 species